AUACCUUUCUCGGCCUUUUGGCUAAGAUCAAGUGUAGUAUAUGUUCUUAUCAGUUUAAUAUCUGAUACGUGGGCCAUCGGCUCACAUGAUAUUAAAUUAAUUUUUCUAGGGGAGGGUCCACCACAGUAGCUUGCUACUGGGGCCCUCGUGUGUUGCCCAGGUGUUGCACUAUUGCUCGGGCCUGGCGCACCCCAU
rnacentral:snRNA from 1 species